GACGAACGCUGGCGGCGUGCCUAAUACAUGCAAGUAGAACGCUGGAGGAGGAGCUUGCUCUUCUGGAUGAUUUGCGAACGGGUGAGUAACGCGUAUGUAACCUGCCUGUUAGCGGGGGAUAACUAUUGGAAACGAUAGCUAUUACCGCAUAACAGUAGAUGUUGCAUGACAUUUACUUAAAAGAUGCAAUUGCAUCACUACCAGUUGGACCUGCGUUGUAUUAGGUAGUUGGUGGGGUAACGGCUCAACAAGGCGACGAUACAUAGCCGGCCUGGGAGGGGGAACGGGCCAACUUGGAAUGGGGAACGGCCCCAACUCCUUAGGGGGGGAGCAGGAGGGAAACUUCGGGAAUGGACGGAAGUCUGAACGGGGAACGCCGCGUGAGUGAAGAAGGGUUUCGGAUCGUAAAGAUCUGUUGUAAGAGAAGAACGAGUGUGGGAGUGGAAAGUGCACACUGUGACGGUAUCUUACCAGAAAGGGACGGCUAACUACGUG
rnacentral:rRNA from 1 species